rnacentral:lncRNA from 1 species
CUGAGGAGCCUAAAGGGGGUGGUGGCACGCCUUGAGAAUGUGAUGCGAAAGAUGGUGCCAGUGGUGCAGGACCAGGUAAGGGACUAGCAGCUAGACCUCCACUAAAAGGGCGCAUUCCUGCAGAGGGCGGCAUUGAUGGUAGAGAAGGUGGUCCACUUGGCAGAGAAGGUGGCCCACUUACUGGCCGCUGCAUUCCCACAGGAGAAGGAAAGCGAGGUCCACCUUGUACACCCCCUGAAGGUGGUCCAUUACUAAAUGGACCUGGGGCACCAGUAGAUGGUGGCGGAACUUGACCUGAAUUCAUUGGUGCAGACUG